rnacentral:rRNA from 1 species
CAGGCCUAACACAUGCAAGUCGAGCGGAUGAGAAGAGCUUGCUCUUCGAUUCAGCGGCGGACGGGUGAGUAAUGCCUAGGAAUCUGCCUGGUAGUGGGGGACAACGUUUCGAAAGGAACGCUAAUACCGCAUACGUCCUACGGGAGAAAGCAGGGGACCUUCGGGCCUUGCGCUAUCAGAUGAGCCUAGGUCGGAUUAGCUAGUUGGUGAGGUAAUGGCUCACCAAGGCGACGAUCCGUAACUGGUCUGAGAGGAUGAUCAGUCACACUGGAACUGAGACACGGUCCAGACUCCUACGGGAGGCAGCAGUGGGGAAUAUUGGACAAUGGGCGAAAGCCUGAUCCAGCCAUGCCGCGUGUGUGAAGAAGGUCUUCGGAUUGUAAAGCACUUUAAGUUGGGAGGAAGGGCAUUAACCUAAUACGUUAGUGUUUUGACGUUACCGACAGAAUAAGCACCGGCUAACUCUGUGCCAGCAGCCGCGGUAAUACAGAGGGUGCAAGCGUUAAUCGGAAUUACUGGGCGUAAAGCGCGCGUAGGUGGUUUGUUAAGUUGGAUGUGAAAGCCCCGGGCUCAACCUGGGAACUGCAUCCAAAACUGGCAAGCUAGAGUACGGUAGAGGGUGGUGGAAUUUCCUGUGUAGCGGUGAAAUGCGUAGAUAUAGGAAGGAACACCAGUGGCGAAGGCGACCACCUGGACUGAUACUGACACUGAGGUGCGAAAGCGUGGGGAGCAAGCAGGAUUA